AGUGAACGCUGGCGGUAGGCCUAACACAUGCAAGUCGAACGGCAGCACAGUAAGAGCUUGCUCUUACGGGUGGCGAGUGGCGGACGGGUGAGGAAUACAUCGGAAUCUACUUUUUCGGGGGGGAUAACGUAGGGAAACUUACGCUAAUACCGCAUACGACCUACGGGUGAAAGCAGGGGAUCUUCGGACCUUGCGCGAUUGAAUGAGCCGAUGUCGGAUUAGAUAGUUGGCGGGGUAAAGGCCCACCAAGUGGACGAUCCGUAGCUGGUCUGAGAGGAUGAUCAGCCACACUGGAACUGGGACACGGUCAAGACUCCUACGGGAGGCAACAGUGGGGAAUGUUGGACAAUGGGCGCAAGCCUGAUCCAGCCAUACCGCGUGUGUGAAGAAGGCGUUCGGGUUGUAAAGCCCUUUUGUUGGGAAAGAAAAGCAGUAGGUUAAUACCCAGCUGUUCUGACGGUAACCAAAGAAUAAGCACCGGCUAACUUCGUG
rnacentral:rRNA from 1 species